rnacentral:piRNA from 1 species
CCCAAGCCGACUGGAGAAGAGCCUA